rnacentral:rRNA from 1 species
UACGGAAGGCAGCAGUGGGGAAUAUUGCACAAUGGGCGCAAGCCUGAUGCAGCCAUGCCGCGUGUAUGAAGAAGGCCUUCGGGUUGUAAAGUACUUUCAGUCGUGAGGAAGGUGUUAAGGUUAAUAACCUUAGCAAUUGACGUUAGCGACAGAAGAAGCACCGGCUAACUCCGUGCCAGCAGCCGCGGUAAUACGGAGGGUGCGAGCGUUAAUCGGAAUUACUGGGCGUAAAGGGCACGCAGGCGGUUAAUUAAGUUGGAUGUGAAAUCCCCGGGCUUAACCUGGGAAUGGCAUUCAAGACUGGUUAGCUAGAGUCUUGUAGAGGGGGUAGAAUUCCAUGUGUAGCGGUGAAAUGCGUAGAGAUGUGGAGGAAUACCGGUGGCGAAGGCGGCCCCUGGACAAAGACUGACGCUCAUGUGCGAAAGCGUGGGGAGGCAAAACAGGAUUAGAUACC